AUGCUCGGCCUGCAGCGAGAUGGCCACCGACAGGCUGCCGUCGCGGCUGGCGCUGGGGAGCACGAAUGCGAGCCCCUCGUACGCGAUGCCGCCGGGGCCCAUGAAGACGGGCCGGCCCCAGCCGAAGUCGGCAUCGUGGAUGGGCAGGCGCACCCAGCUGGUGAGCCCGAGGUUGGGGCACCGGAACGUGUGCGCGCCGCGGACCAGCGCCGACAGGUCCGGCUGCAUCUCCAGGUAGUCCAGCGCCGAGCGGCAGUACUCGUUGUCCAUAACCUCCAGCGCCGCCUGGAUCGUGGUCGCGCCGUCCGCCAGCGAGCCGGUCACCUUGCCCGCCACCGCGAGCGGCGUGGCCGUGAAGAUGACGUUGCCGAAGUAGCCCUCCGGGAGCGGCGGCUGCAGCCGCUGCCGCCCGUCCGUGGCGCAGUACAGCUUGGUGGGCUGCUCUGGGGACAGGCCACGGGCCAGGGACGCGCACCGCCAGACGUGCGCCCCGAGCACCGCGUAGGUGCUGAACCGCGGCGCGCCCUCGCCAGUGGGGAGCUGGGCGCGGAGGCGGCCGAGGUCGGCGCGGGAAAGCUUGAAGAUGUCCACGGCCGUGGGCCGCGCUUCCGGCUUGGCGGUGAGGGCCUGCGGCUCCUCCGCGUCCAGCAUGGCGGGCGCUGGCUGGUACUCGAUGUGCGGAUGGGACGGCGUCGGCGGGUCGCGUGCGCGGAGGAGGUAGACGCUCGGCGUGUGGAACCGCGGCACGACCAGGUCCGGGUUGGCGUUCCACAGCCGGAGCCGCGGCGUCUCCUCCGCCGGCACCACGACCGUCGAUCCCCGCACCGUGAUCUUCAUCUCCGCGGAUGCAGAUCUGGCGGGCAGACUAGGCGGAAGAAAAGAAAGGUCGUCGCUAGGUACGUGGAACGCGCGUGGGAGCAGCGGCGAUAA
rnacentral:rRNA from 1 species